GGACUACCCGGGUAUCUAAUCCCGUUUGCUCCCCUGGCUUUCGCACAAUAGCGUCAGUUACCGACCAGCAAGUCGCCUUCGCCACCGAUGUUCUUCCCAAUAUCUACGCAUUUCACCGCUACACUGGGAAUUCCACUUGCCUCUCCGGUACUCCAGCACCGCAGUUUCAACUGCAAAACACGGUUAAGCCGCAUCUUUUAACAGCCGACUUACGGCACAGCCUGCGUGCCCUUUACGCCCAGUAAUUCCGGACAACGCUCGCCCCCUACGUAUUACCGCGGCUGCUGGCAC
rnacentral:rRNA from 1 species